GAGAGAGAGAGAGAGAGAGAGAGAGAGAGAGAGAGAGAGAGAGAGAGAGAGAGAGAGAGAGAGAGAGAGAGAGAGAUACAACUAGAUAGCUAUACAUUAAGGUCUAACACUUGGUACAUCUAGCCCGCCUGAAAGGAAGGAUGAACAUCACAUAACCUUACUCACCUACAUAUGACAAAAUUAACUCUUACUCAAAUGUUCUGGGGGAAAAUUCAUAAGUGGGCUACAAUUAAAUGACUGUUCAGGGAGGGGGAUUCCAACCUGGCCGGCAGAUUCAUAGGUAGGCAUGCUAACCACUACACCACGGAGCCAGAAGAAUUAGCCACACUAUACCAGGACAAAUAAUUAUUAGUGUGUGCCCUGGUAAGAUUCAUAUGUGCAGCCCUGGUAGUGGUUCUUAUUAUGUAACAUAGUGAGUCAGUAUAAGGGUAUUGGUGAGUAAGUUUAUGGCCCCAAGUGACUCAGUGUCGGUUUAACCCGUCCGCUUUGAUUGGCACAGAUUUGGCCUUCCCUGGUAGCCUGGUAACAUAAUUUUAUAGUCCCAGGUCCUUCUCUGCCUCUGUGGUGGAAAGUGGUGUUUCCCAUGUGGUAUUGGUGUGCUGGGUAUCCCUUCACUGGUAGCCUGGUAACAUACACUCCCAGGUCUUUCUUGCCUCUGUGGUGGGUAGUGGAGUGUUUCCCAUGUGGUAUUGGUGUGCUGGAUAUCCCUUCACUGGUAGCCUGGUAACAUACACUCCCAGGUCUUUCUCUGCCUCUGUGGUGGAUAGUGGAGUGUUUCCCAUGUGGUAUUGGUGUGCUGGAUAUCCCUUCACUGGUAGCCUGGUAACAUACACUCCCAGGUCUUUCUCUGACUCUGUGGUGGAUAGUGGAGUGUUUCCCAUGUGGUAUUGGUGUGCUGGAUAUCCCUUCACUGGUAGCCUGGUAACAUACACUCCCAGGUCUUUCUCUGCCUCUGUGGUGGAUAGUGGAGUGUUUCCCAUGUGGUAUUGGUGUGCUGGAUAUCCCUUCACUGGUAGCCUGGUAACAUACACUCCCAGGUCUUUCUCUGCCUCUGUGAUGGAUAGUGGAGUGUUUCCCAUGUGGUAUUGGUGUGCUGGAUAUACCUUCACUGGUAGCCUGGUAACAUACACUCCCAGGUCUU